CCAAAAUGGCACUCUGUAUUUAAGGCUAAGGUGUGGUGAAAUCCAGAGAAAGAAAACAUGAGAGAAGCUGGAGGAUAUUCAGAGCUGGAGAUGCCAGAAAAUGUGCAUUUUCAGAGCUCAAGGUGCACGUAGGUGCAAAGGAAGCCCUGUGGCUCCAUGUGUCAGUGGGACUGGGAGCAGGUCCUGAGCUGCUAGAAGCCACUGUCUGAUGUUUGGACAUCUAUCCUUGAGUGUCUUACAAGUUCCCUUUUUUCAGAAAGUAACGACCAUCAAACCUCCCAGUAGGAGGUUCCUGCAUCGGAGAGGUAUAACCAAGCAACCUUUAGGACUUAAGCCCAACUCUGUAUUUUCUAUUCCAGAAGCACACUGGAUGAGGCUCUAGCUCUUUACAACUUUGAUCCAGAAACCCCAGUGGGGAUAUUAUUGAAAACAUCAGUGCAGACAGGUUCUGGCCCUGCCCUCAUAAGAGGAAAAAGCCCUUUCGCAGUUGAGGUCUUAUUAUAUUAAGUUAAAAAUUUAUAGCAUUUAACUAGGCUGUAACCAGUUAAUGUGACUCAGGAAAGGCUGUAAUGUGGAUGGAGGCAUUACCACUUUGCCUCACUGCAGAAGUUACUGUUUUUCCAGACCUCACAUGUGAGAGGAGCCCAGUUAAAGCACGUCUAGCAAUUAGGCUGUGAGGUCACCUGAUUAAGUGAGGGGCAUCAGCAGGGUUUCAGGCUGACUGACUUCAGCUGGGCUGUGGCUAACAGCCUGAAACAUUUCUUUACCAGUGCUGUUGGGCUGAGCUCCUUCCCUACGACUUAUCAGCACCAGCAUUUCAGUAAAGCUAUGAGCGGCAGCUCUUACUGCCUGGGAACAAACUCAUGCGGCCCAGUCAGGAGGAUGGCAGCUCUACACAACCGCAGGGAGUUCCUCUGGGGCCCAGUCCGAAGCACCGGUCUGGCAGCUGCGACGUACCAAUGCUUCCCGCUCCCAAGUCUGGAUGCAGACCACGCGUUGUGUAGCCGUGCUGCUGGGGAAUGUGUGCAGCUGAUGUUUCCCACUGCGGUGGGAGCUGCAUGGUCU
rnacentral:lncRNA from 1 species